GGGUCGUUAGCUCAGUUGGUAGAGCAGUUGACUUUUAAUCAAUUCGUCGCAGGUUCGAAUCCUGCACGACCCACCA
rnacentral:tRNA from 1 species